rnacentral:rRNA from 1 species
AUUGAACGCUGGCGGCAUGCCUUACACAUGCAAGUCGAACGGCAGCAUGGAGAGCUUGCUCUCUGAUGGCGAGUGGCGAACGGGUGAGUAAUGCAUCGGAACGUACCGUGUAAUGGGGGAUAACGUAGCGAAAGUUACGCUAAUACCGCAUACGACCUGAGGGUGAAAGCAGGGGAUCGCAAGACCUUGCGUUAUACGAGCGGCCGAUGUCAGAUUAGCUAGUUGGUGAGGUAAAGGCUCACCAAGGCGACGAUCUGUAGCGGGUCUGAGAGGAUGAUCCGCCACACUGGGACUGAGACACGGCCCAGACUCCUACGGGAGGCAGCAGUGGGGAAUUUUGGACAAUGGGCGCAAGCCUGAUCCAGCCAUGCCGCGUGAGUGAAGAAGGCCUUCGGGUUGUUAAA